rnacentral:rRNA from 1 species
GAUGAACGCUCGCUACAGGCUUAACACAUGCAAGUCGAGGGGAAACGACAUCGAAAGCUUGCUUUUGAUGGGCGUCGACCGGCGCACGGGUGAGUAACGCGUAUCCAACCUGCCCAUCACUUGGGAAUAACCUUGCGAAAGUAAGACUAAUACCCAAUGAUAUCCCACGAAGGCAUCGGAAUGGGAUUAAAGAUUUAUCGGUGAUGGAUGGGGAUGCGUCUGAUUAGCUUGUUGGCGGGGUAACGGCCCACCAAGGCAACGAUCAGUAGGGGCUCUGAGAGGAAGGUCCCCCACAUUGGAACUGAGACACGGUCCAAACUCCUACGGGAGGCAGCAGUGAGGAAUAUUGGUCAAUGGGCGAGAGCCUGAACCAGCCAAGUAGCGUGCAGGAAGACGGCCCUAUGGGUUGUAAACUGCUUUUAGAAGGGAAUAAAGUGGGUCACGUGUGACUUUUUGCAUGUACCUUAUGAAUAAGGACCGGCUAAUUCCGUG